rnacentral:rRNA from 1 species
AGAGUUUGAUCAUGGCUCNGGAUGAACGCUAGCUACAGGCUUAACACAUGCAAGUCGAAGGGAAACGACAUCGAAAGCUUGCUUUUGAUGGGCGUCGACCCGGCGCACGGGUGAGUAACGCGUAUCCAACCUGCCCACCACUUGGGGAUAACCUUGCGAAAGUAAGACUAAUACCCAAUGAUAUCUCUAGAAGACAUCUGAAAGAGAUUAAAGAUUUAUACGGUGAUGGAUGGGGAUGCGUCUGAUUAGCUUGUUGGCGGGGUAACGGCCCACCAAGGCAACGAUCAGUAGGGGUUCUGAGAGGAAGGUCCCCCCACAUUGGAACUGAGACACGGUCCCAAACUCCUACGGGAGGCAGCA